GUUGAUCCCCUUCGGGGGUGACGCUUGUGGAAUGAGCGGCGGACGGGUGAGUAACACGUGGGCAACCUGCCUGUAAGACUGGGAUAACCCCGGGAAACCGGGGCUAAUACCGGAUAAUACUUUCUUUUGCAUAAAGGAAAGUUGAAAGGCGGCUUCGGCUGUCACUUACAGAUGGGCCCGCGGCGCAUUAGCUAGUUGGUGAGGUAACGGCUCACCAAGGUGUUGGGUUAAGUCCCGCAACGAGCGCAACCCUUGAUCUUAGUUGCCAGCAUUUAGUUGGGCACUCUAAGGUGACUGCCGGUGACAAACCGGAGGAAGGUGGGGAUGACGUCAAAUCAUCAUGCCCCUUAUGACCUGGGCUACACACGUGCUACAAUGGAUGGAACAAAGGGAAGCAAAACCGCGAGGUCAAGCAAAUCCCAUAAAACCAUUCUCAGUUCGGAUUGCAGGCUGCAACUCGCCUGCAUGAAGCCGGAAUCGCUAGUAAUCGCGGAUCAGCAUGCCGCGGUGAAUACGUUCCCGGGCCUUGUACACACCGCCCGUCACACCACGAGAGUUGGUAACACCCGAAGUC
rnacentral:rRNA from 1 species